CACUGAUUAUUUAAAUGGCCGCGGUAUUUUGACCGUGCAAAGGUAGCAUAAUCAUUUGUCUUUUAAUUGGAGGCUAGAAUGAAUGGUUAAAUGAGGAGUUGUCUUUAAAGACUAAUUUUAUGAAUUUAAUUUUUGAGUUAAAACGCUUAAAUUUUAUUAUGGGACGAGAAGACCCUAUAGAACUUUACUUUUAUUUAAUUAAAUUUUAUUUGGGGAAUUUUGAUUUUUAUUUUUUUAUGAGUUUAGUUGGGGCGACUUUGAAGAUUAAUUAACCUUCAUAUUUUUAUUUCACUAAUUUGUGUUAUUUUGAUCCGUUUUAAUGAUUAUUAGUUUAAGUUACCUUAGGGAUAACAGCGUAAUUUAUUCAGAGAGUUCUUAUCGAUGAAUAAGAUUGCGA
rnacentral:rRNA from 1 species